UAGAACUGUAGGUAGCUUCUCAACUAACUAUCUUAUUGUAGUUUAGUUGAGUAAGAGGAAAGUCCAUGCUUGCAUAGUCUGAGAUGACUAUAGUGAUUGUGUGAGUAUAUAAAAGAUAAAACUCAACGGCUAGUCUGACUAGUUGAUGGCGGAGAACCUUUCUAAAUAAGCUUUACAGCUUACAUGAGUAAUUCUUUGUAAAGUGCCACAGAGACGAGCUCUAUAGAAAUAUAGAGUGUGAAACGAGGCAAACCCCGCAAGCAAGAAACCUAAAUUAUUGGUGAGGGAACUUAAGCAAAGGAAAUGAACAAUGCUUAGGAAUCAAUUAUUUGAUUAGAUUAAUUACCUACUUUGACAGAACAUGGCUUAUUGUU
rnacentral:RNase_P_RNA from 1 species